AGAUCCACCUAGUUUACACUCUGGUUUCUUUGUACAUCUACUGUCUUUUACUUCUUUAUCUUUUGACAGCUUCAAGUUUAACACCCAGAAACUCUGUGCUUUUAUUUUGACGUGUUAAGAGUCAGAUCUUUACAUUAAUGUUUGUUGUGUUUUUCUCCACAGGAUUCAAACUGGAACCAUCACAGAGAGAAGAGACAGACGUGAAGACGUUGUCAGGUCUUCAGCUGCUGUCGUCUUCUCCUCCUGCACAGACAACAACACACAAAGUCAUCUAAGCGAGUAGGUGGAGCAGAAUCAGUCGACCAAUCAGCGUUUCGUAUGCCGACGUUGGCUGGCGUGUGACGUCAUCGUUCUGGACCACGAGGAGGAGAGCAGGUCAGUGGAGGAACAAUGGCGAACAGUCGAGUGAAAAUGGAGAUUAAAAUCAACGUUUUACGCCACCUUUUUUACCUGGGGUUGUUGUCGCUGUGAGAAACUUUGUUGCCGAAGAAGCGCGGAUGUUACAACGAGCCAGUUACAACACACGGCGAGCUCACCUGCAGGAGGAGGAGGUGAGGACAAUAAACAACCAUCACCAAUAAACAAGAGGCCAGAAGAUCCAGGACAGGUGUCUCUACUUUGUGCAAUGCAGAUGAGAUGAAGAGGGAGAUAAGAAGGGGCAAGGACAGCUGUGGGAGGAAGCCGGAGGAGCGUCUUCAGGGUAACGAAACUGACAUCAGUCACAGCAGGGGUCAGUGCACAUCCCUGCCUUUUCAUUACAUCUGAGCAGGUGAGGAGGGUGUUGAGGAAAGCUACAGGACCUGAUGGCAGGUGUGUGGGGUCUUCUGUGGAAAACAUCCUGUGUGGUCGCAGUUCUGAAGAGUGGAUAUUUUAGUGAGCUGAAAAACUUCAGGUCAGAAGUUGUCACCUGAUGAAGAUGCCUUUGUGUCUCUGUCUUGCUCUUUGGAGUCCAUUGAGGAGUUCUUGUAGGCAUAAAGAGAUCCUGUAGAAAGAGUGAGAUGUUGGUUGUGACUGCAGAGAGUGUUCACACAACGAAGUAGUUCUUUUGGACCAGGAGUGAGAACAGGUGUCUCCACUUUGUCCAUGAUUGCAGAGAGCCUUUAUACACUGCACAAGUUCUUUGAGACCAGGACAGAGGCAUCUAGGUAAUUCACAGUUUCAUCAUUUGUGUAAUUAUAGAAGUAGUUUGUACAACUUGAGGCACAAAUAGUAUGUAGAGUUUUGAACGUGUGUGUUUGUGAAAAAGAGAUACUUUGUUCAGGUAAUUGCAAUUUGCUUUAUGUGAAUUGUGUUAGGCAGAGCAUUGAGUGUUGUUUAUGUUUAGUACUUCUUCUCAUGUGGAUGUUAUGGUUUGUUGAUGAUUGUCUUGCUAAUAAAGGGGUUUUGUUUGUGUGUGUUUUUUUUAUACUUUUAUGAUUUUUUUUGUUGGUUUGGCUGAAAUUUUGGGAAGGGAGGAUUGAAGUUGAUGGCAAGUUUAUUUCUGAGAUGUGUUUUUAUGCCAGAUUUCGAUGAAUUUGUUUUGUUCAUUGCUCAAAACGAUGCUUUAAGAAUUGUGGGGGGAGGGGGGGUGGUGGUGGUUAUUUUGUAAAAGUGUGCUUUUAAGUUUGUUCUAAUAAAGAA